UCCGUGAAGUGUUCGGAUUGCGGCGACGUGGGCGGUUCGCUGCCCGCGACGUUGUGAGAAGUCCACUGAACCUUAUCAUUUAGAGGAAGGAGAAGUCGUAACAAGGUUUCCGUAGGUGAACCUGCGGAAGGAUCAUUG
rnacentral:rRNA from 1 species